GCGCCGGGGUGAUCCGGGGAGCUCUGUCCGCGGACCCUGAGCGCGGCCAGCGGAGAGCGGCGCGGCGCACGCCACCCGCCGCCGUGCGCCCUCAGAAUGCGCGGUCCGGCUCUCCGCAGCGCAGCGCAACUGCGUGAGGCGGGGAGACGCACUUCGGCCGGCGGCCGCCGGCGGGGCUCUCGCUUCUCCGCGGGGCCGGGCGGCCUCGGGGUCGUCCUGGAGGACCGCGCGCGCCCGAGAGGGGUGGACGGAGCGCGCCCGGGGCGUCCGCGCGCGUAGCCCCUGCGACGUGAGCUUGGCACCUUCUGGAGUCUGGAGCCUGGCCAGCGCCCCUCGGCUGAAGGGCCCGACCCGGCGGGGGAAAAGCCCGGACCCUCCCCCAGCUCGGGCGGACCUGUAACCCCGGGUCUGAGAUGACCAGGCCCGAGGGCUCUCCAAAUGGGCAGCUGCAGCUGCCAAUUUCAGGGGUCUCCAGAAACAGCCGGUGGGGCCACUGUGGUUUUUCUUCGUUUUUCUCUCCUUUCUAGAAGACCCGCUACGAUCCCGGGAGCGCAAAGACAAAACCAAGCAGACGCUUUAUUCUUGUUAUUUAUUGGCGAGAUCUCAGUGGACCCGUAAAGGAUGAAAAGGAGAGAGUUCGCCUACAUCGUGCCGCCACCGCAGCGUCUGCAGUUGGGUUCGCGGUCGGGGCGCCGAUGUGCGCGGGUUCACCUGCACACACCAGCUCACAGCCGUGGACGGCAUCUUGCGUGGAGGAGCUACCCCUCAAGGAGCUGCUUAAUGUUCUGGCCUGGGGGGGGGGGGGCGGUGUCUGGGGAGGCACCUGGGGCCGCAGAAACAUCUAGGAGCUGGGCAGAGCUCACGGAGAGUGGUUAUUCCGAAGACCUUGCCGUGAAUUGGCUCACCAGCUUUCUAAAUCCUGACACUGGCCGUCCCGGGGAAGCAAGGAGAAAGCAUCCUCUAAGGACCUUGGAAGCCAGAGCGCAGGCCGGGGUGCCCCAUGGUCUGGAAAGAAGUUUGCCGCGGGUCUCAAAAACCCACACCUAUUCCUCUCGCAGCCACGUGAAGGAACAUUCUGGGGACGGGUUCUCUGGAACAUGGCAACUGAUGGAAUCCCUGAAAAAUGCUUUCUUCCCUCCCCAGACUGAAGAAUGAAAGAGAGCCCCAGCUAGAGUUAUAGCCAUUUAAGAAACCAGAGCAGUCUUGCUUUUGUCUGCCCUGUGCCCUCACCCCUCCACCCCCCUCCCCCACCACCACCACCUCUCCCGGGCAUUCACAGUUACCAAAGCAAGAAAAGGGCUGUGUGAGUCACCUUGACAAAUGGGGAGCGUGACUGGGAGGUGAGGGCUGCUAACAUUUCUCUUUGUUCCAUUCUGUGGAAGCAUCCUGUCCCUCCUGAUACAUCAGUAAGCUAGGAUCAGACAGUGAGACUUUCUGCUGUCUAUGAAUAUAUUGAACAUGUAACAGGGGUCAGCUGCUAAGUGCUUUCUUAGAUUCUUACUUCAUACUCCCAAUAAUGCAUGAGGUAGUUCCUGUUAUCCAUGGUUUAGAAUCGAGAAAACUGAGGCUCCGACAGCUGCAAGAACUUGCCCAGGUGCCCUGGCUUCGAAGGGGCAGGAGCAGGACAGCAGUCAAUAUAAAUUGCCACCAGCCUGGUGACUCAACUCGGCAUGUUUCUCCCGAUCAGCAAAUGAAUGUGGGGGAAUCCAAACUGACAUCUUACAAGCAAGAAAACUUGAAGAAAUGAAGCAUCUUGGCAAGGUGGCAGUAGGAACCUGACUUCUUUUUUCCAUCAACAGUGCCCCCCCCCCCCAGAGAGAGAGCACUAACAGGGGGAGCUGGAGGCAGAGGAGGAAGAGAGGCAGGCGCCCCACCAAGCAAGGAUCUCAGGGCAGUGCUCCAUCCCAGGACUCUAGAAUCAUGGCAGGAGCCGAAGGCAGGCACUUAACUGACUGAGCCACCCAGGCGCCCAAAGGGGGAGAUGCUCUGAGCCCGGAUGUCAGUCACCUUCUGCGUGUAAAACCCCGGGGUGAAAGGAGAGCCUGCAGGAACCAUCUGGAAGGCUGAGCACAAGGCUGGCCCCGAGUCACCUCUCAACACCAGUGUCCGUGAUGACGACUUGCUUGGUCACGCUACCCCAGGCAGCUCAGAAGAUUCCGAACACAGUGGGGAGAGGGCACCUGAGAGUGCAAAGGCUACACGCCAUCUUUGGCACAGACUUGGAGACUAAGCUUAUCUGGUCUUAUCCGCACCAUCAUCCUCGCCACCACCACCAUCACGACCACAAGGACAGCAGAGACAUGAACGCUGACUGGAGCAUUUGCUGUUUCAGUCCCCUUUGGCCUAGGGAAUGGCAAACAGGCUUUUGAAAAAGUUACCGUGGGAUGAGCAUGGUUUGGGGUUCUAAAUCCCAAAGUAUCUGAGCCCCUGGAGCCCCUGAAUUCUCAAGUUCCAUCAAGGGGCCACGAGUGGUGCAUGUUUGGUGACCAUCACUGGUUUUGCAGAUGAUAAAAUGGUGGCCAUUCAGCGUAUCCUAGUCUUCCUGCGGCAGUCCUCGGCCUUAAUUGGCAGCUGUUCUUCUGACAGUGCCAGCUUGGGGGAGGGGUGGGCGAGGCUCCCUGCUCUGUGCUCCCACAACAUCCGGGACCUCCCCCAUCUCCACCCUGCCUUGUGGUUGCCCCUUGCUGAUGUCAAUGCUUAGAAGGCUGUGAGUUGCUCUGUGGAGGCAAAGUCUUACUCACCAUUGUCACCCCUGGAUCUAGCACAACACCUGACAACAGAAGAGGUUGCCCAUUAAAUAUUUGUUCAAUAAAUGAAUGAGUAAUGCCUCCCUUUAUUAUUAUUAUUAUUAUUGCACAUAGCAAUUAAAAACAAGCGUAAACAGUAUGUGGGAACUUAGGAAAAUAAUUAUGUGACAACAUUAAGUGAUAAGUUAAAUUCGUUUUGGUCUCACCUGGAAAAUGGGGCAAUUAACAUCUCUUGUAUUAGUUUUGUUCUGUUCUCACUCAAGUGAGACAGAAUAAGUAAAAUGCUUAACACAGUGCCCUCCAUGAGCAUGUAUUUGAUAAACGGUAGUGUUUUUGUUAUCAUUUAUGAUAAUUGUAAGUGAAAGAAAAAAAAAAAACAGAAUGAAAAUAUUUAGGCUGAUUUUAACUAAUCAAGCAACAGGGGCACCUGGGUGGCUCAGAGGGUUAA